AUGGAGAGUUUGAUUUUGGUUUAGGAUGAAUGUUGGUGGUAUGUUUAAUAUAUGUAAGUUGGAUGGGAAGUGGUGUUUUUAGUGGUGGAUGGGUGAGUAAUGUGUAAGAAUUUGUUUUUGGGAGGGGAAUAAUAGUUGGAAAUGGUUGUUAAUAUUUUGUAGGUUGAGGAGUAAAAGGAGGAAUUUGUUUGAGGAGGGGUUUGUGUUUGAUUAGUUAGUUGGUGAGGUAAUAGUUUAUUAAGGUGAUGAUUAGUAGUUGGUUUGAGAGGAUGAUUAGUUAUAUUGGGAUUGAGAUAUGGUUUAGAUUUUUAUGGGAGGUAGUAGUGGGGAAUUUUUUGUAAUGGGUGAAAGUUUGAUGGAGUAAUGUUGUGUGGAGGUAGAAGGUUUAUGGGUUUUGAAUUUUUUUUUUUAGAGAAGAAGUAAUGAUGGUAUUUGGGGAAUA
rnacentral:rRNA from 1 species